rnacentral:rRNA from 1 species
GAUGAACGCUGGCGGCGUGCUUAACACAUGCAAGUCGAGCGAAGCGAUUUAAAUGAGACUUCGGUGGAUUUUAAAUUGACUGAGCGGCGGACGGGUGAGUAACGCGUGGAUAACCUGCCUCACACAGGGGGAUAACAGUUAGAAAUGACUGCUAAUACCGCAUAAGCGCACGGUACCGCAUGGUACAGUGUGAAAAACUCCGGUGGUGUGAGAUGGAUCCGCGUCUGAUUAGGUAGUUGGUGAGGUAACGGCCCACCAAGCCGACGAUCAGUAGCCGACCUGAGAGGGUGACCGGCCACAUUGGGACUGAGACACGGCCCAAACUCCUACGGGAGGCAGCAGUGGGGAAUAUUGCACAAUGGGCGAAAGCCUGAUGCAGCAACGCCGCGUGAGUGAAGAAGUAUCUCGGUAUGUAAAGCUCUAUCAGCAGGGA